rnacentral:rRNA from 1 species
UUCCGCAAUGGGCGCAAGCCUGACGGAGCAAUACCGCGUGAGGGAGGAAGGCUCUUGGGUCGUAAACCUCUUUUAUCAGGGAAGAACACAAUGACGGUACCUGAUGAAUCAGCAUCGGCUAACUCUGUGCCAGCAGCCGCGGUAAUACAGAGGAUGCAAGCGUUAUCCGGAAUUAUUGGGCGUAAAGCGUCCGCAGGUGGUUUUGGUAGUCUGCUGUCAAAGCGCGAGGCUCAACUUCGUAUCGGCGGUGGAAACUCCAAGACUAGAGUUUGGUAGGGGUCACGGGAAUUCCCAGUGUAGCGGUGAAAUGCGUAGAUAUUGGGAAGAACACCAGCGGCGAAAGCGCGUGACUGGGCCUGAACUGACACUCAUGGACGAAAGCUAGGGGAGCGAAAGGGAUUAGAUAC